AUUGAACGCUGGCGGCAGGCCUAACACAUGCAAGUCGAGCGAGCGGCGCACGGGUGAGUAUUGUCUGUGAAACUGCCUGAUGGAGAGGGAUAACUACUGGAAACGCUAGCUAAUAUAGCACACCAUCAGCUGUGCCCAGAUGGGAUUAGCUCGUAGGUGGGGUAAUGGCUCACCUAGGCGCCGAUCCCUAGCUGGUCUGAGAGGAUGACCAGCCACACUGGAACUGAGACACGGUCCAGACUCCUACGGGAGGCAGCAGUGGGGAAUAUUGCACAAUGGGCGCAAGCCUGAUGCAGCCAUGCCGCGUGUGUGAAGAAGGCCUUCGGGUUGUAAAGCACUUUCAGCGGGGAGGCGUUACCCGCAGAAGAAGCACCGGCUAACUCCGUGCCAGCAGCCGCGGUAAUAC
rnacentral:rRNA from 1 species